CCCGGCCCGCCCCCGGCUCGACUCGCGGGAGGCGCUAGGCGCCGGGGCUGGCGCGCUCUCCCAGGCGCACACACACAUCCACGCACGCACGCCCAGAGCAGCUCUCUCCGCGCUUGGCCCCCGUUCUCUUCGCCCAUGCAGACGGACAGAGCGACGGAAGAUGGCUGACGACUCCACGGGGCACCGAGGAUGCAGCCCGGCGGCGGCGGCGGCGGCGGGAGCGGCAGAAGCAGCGGCGGCGGCAGGGGCAGCGGCGGCAGCGGCGGCGUUGGUGGCGGCGGCGGCGGCGGCAGCGGGAGCAGGAGCGGCGGCGGCGGCAUCCCCGAGACUCCUUGAGCUACCUUUCCCUCUGACAGCCACUGACGUUCUCCGCCGCUAGAAGAGACCCCGCUUCUCCGGCGCCUGCCUUCCCUCCCCCCUCCCAGCCCCAGCCCCAGCCCCGCCAGCACCGCUACCUCCGCCAGCAUUGCCACCAUCAGCAGCACCUCCACCACCACCACCACCACUACCACCACCACCGCCGGCGGCGGCAGCAGCCAUUUCAUCUCCACAGAAACCAGACACAAAAACAUGGCAGAAAUGGAGAAAGAAGGGAGACCUCCGGAAAAUAAAAGGAGCAGGAAACCGGCUCACCCAGUGAAAAGGGAGAUCAAUGAGGAAAUGAAGAACUUUGCAGAAAACACCAUGAAUGAACUCCUUGGCUGGUAUGGCUAUGAUAAGGUUGAAUUGAAAGAUGGUGAAGAUAUUGAAUUCAGGAGCUACCCUACAGAUGGAGAGAGCCGGCAGCACAUUUCUGUUCUCAAAGAAAAUUCUUUGCCAAAACCAAAAUUACCUGAGGACAGUGUUAUUUCACCAUACAAUAUAAGCACAGGCUAUUCAGGGCUUGCCACAGGAAAUGGACUCAGUGACUCACCUGCAGGGUCAAAGGAUCAUGGCAAUGUGCCCAUUAUUGUACCUUUAAUUCCGCCACCUUUCAUAAAGCCACCAGCAGAAGAUGAUGUGUCAAAUGUACAAAUAAUGUGUGCCUGGUGCCAGAAAGUGGGAAUCAAGCGCUAUUCCCUGAGUAUGGGAAGUGAGGUGAAAAGCUUCUGCAGCGAGAAGUGCUUUGCGGCCUGCCGACGAGCCUACUUCAAGAGGAAUAAGGCUAGAGAUGAAGAUGGACAUGCUGAAAAUUUCCCCCAGCAGCACUAUGCUAAGGAAACUCCAAGGCUUGCCUUCAAGAAUAACUGCGAACUACUUGUAUGUGACUGGUGUAAACACAUAAGACACACAAAAGAAUACCUGGAUUUUGGGGACGGGGAAAGAAGGCUUCAGUUCUGCAGUGCAAAAUGUCUCAAUCAAUACAAAAUGGACAUUUUCUACAAAGAGACCCAGGCCAAUCUUCCAGCUGGGCUGUGCAGCACAUUACACCCUCCCAUGGAAAAUAAAGCAGAAGGCACCGGGGUGCAGCUGCUCACUCCAGACUCUUGGAAUAUUCCUCUAACAGAUGCUCGGAGGAAAGCCCCCUCCCCGGUGGCUGCAGCUGGCCAAAGCCAGGGCCCUGGCCCAUCGGCGUCCACCACCGUCUCUCCAUCUGACACUGCCAACUGCUCUGUCGCUAAAAUCCCCACGCCAGUGCCCAAGUCCAUGCCGAUCAGCGAGACUCCAAACAUCCCUCCUGUCUCCGUCCAGCCACCUGCUAGCAUCGGGCCUCCCCUCGGAGUGCCGCCUCGCAGCCCUCCCAUGGUGAUGACCAACCGCGGCCCGGUGCCGCUGCCCAUCUUCAUGGAACAACAGAUCAUGCAGCAGAUCCGCCCGCCCUUCAUUCGCGGGCCGCCACACCACGCCUCCAACCCCAACAGCCCUCUGUCCAACCCCAUGCUCCCGGGCAUCGGGCCCCCUCCGGGCGGCCCCAGAAACCUGGGCCCCACUUCCAGUCCCAUGCACCGGCCCAUGCUCUCGCCCCAUAUCCACCCCCCGAGCACCCCGACCAUGCCUGGUAACCCCCCGGGCCUGCUGCCCCCUCCGCCCCCGGGCGCGCCCUUGCCGAGUCUCCCCUUCCCGCCCGUGAGCAUGAUGCCAAAUGGCCCGAUGCCCGUGCCCCAGAUGAUGAAUUUCGGGCUGCCGUCGCUCGCCCCGCUGGUGCCGCCCCCCACCUUGCUCGUGCCAUACCCGGUGAUCGUGCCCCUGCCCGUGCCCAUCCCCAUCCCUAUUCCCAUCCCUCACGUCAAUGAUUCCAAGCCCCCCAACGGAUUUUCCAGCAACGGGGAGAACUUCAUUCCGAGCGCCCCCGGCGACUCCUCGGCGGCAGGAGGUAAGCCAGGCGGACACUCCCUGUCCCCCCGGGACUCCAAGCAGGGCUCGUCCAAGUCCGCGGACUCGCCGCCCGGCUGCUCGGGCCAGGCCCUGAGCCUGGCGCCCGCGCCCGCGGAGCACGGCCGGAGCGAGGUGGUGGACCUGACGCGGCGCGCCGGCAGCCCCCCGGGCGCGGGCGGCCAGCUCGGCUUCCCCGGCGUGCUGCAGGGCCCGCAGGACGGCGUCAUCGACCUGACCGUGGGCCACCGGGCCCGGCUGCACAACGUGAUCCACCGCGCGCUGCACGCGCACGUCAAGGCGGAGCGCGAGCCGGGCGCCGCGGAGCGCAGGACCUGCGGCGGCUGCAGGGACGGCCACUGCAGCCCGCCCGCCGCCGGCGACCCGGGUCCGGGCGCCCCGCGGGCCCCGAGGCCGCCGCGGCCUGCAACGUCAUCGUGAACGGCACGCGCGGCGCCGCCGCCGAGGGCGCCAAGGGCGCGGAGCCGCCGCCCGAGCAGCCCCCGCCGCCGCCGCCGCCGCCGCCCGCGCCCCCAAGAAGCUGCUGUCGCACGAGGAGCCCGCGGUGAGCGAGCUGGAGUCCGUCAAGGAGAACAACUGUGCUUCCAACUGCCACCUGGACGGGGAGGCGGCCAAAAAGCUGAUGGGGGAGGAGGCCCUGGCGGGGGGCGACAAGUCAGACCCGAACCUUAAUAACCCCGCGGACGAGGACCACGCGUAUGCUCUGCGCAUGCUGCCCAAGACGGGCUGCGUGAUCCAGCCUGUGCCAAAACCGGCGGAGAAGACUGCCAUGGCGCCGUGCAUCAUCUCCUCGCCCAUGCUGAGCGCCGGGCCCGAGGACCUGGAGCCUCCGCUCAAAAGGAGGUGCCUCCGAAUUAGAAAUCAGAAUAAGUAAAAGGAACGCUCACUCACAGGGUACCUUGCAUGGAGAGAGGGCGCAGAGCAAACCAUGUCACACCAUCCAAUGACACCAGCUGGUCAGCUCACCACCCCCUCUGGCUAAAACUCAAGCAAAUAAAGCCGCUUCCUGUCAUUAAGCAUCUCAGAGGAAGCAGCCCUCCCUCCGUGGCCUCUAGCCCAGAGAAGCCAGCACGUCUUGGACCCACCAAGCGGGCCCAGCCUUCCUGCUGCCACCAUCUCUGCUUCUCCCAGAGGAACUUAGGGAUUUCGCCCCUGGUUUUAAAAAAACAAAACACCAACAAGCCACAAGGACCAAUGUAGGUAUUCUCCCCGCUCCAUCUUCCAGGCUCAGAGGGUGAGGCUGGAAGAUGAUAUGGAUUUGAAAACAAAAAUCUUUUUUUAAUCUUUUUAAAAACUGCUGUGGUUUUGCUGCUACACUAAGAAUUGUGAUUUGCAUUGUACGGUUUUGGACCUAUACUGUCCACGUUUUGACGGCGGAGAGGGAUCAUACUGGAGUCCCAACGCUUCAGAUUCAUCUCUGUCCUGCCCAGGAUGCACUUUUAAAUGAAGAGUUAGAAUAUUUUAUUGGCUAAUAUACUUUUCUUGUUAUUUUUACAAAGGCCACCUUUAUCCUUUUUAAUGCCAUAUUUUCAGUGUUACACUUUUAUGGCUUUUAAUUUUCGAUUUGACAGAUGUAAGAAGCAGCAUGAAUAGUUUAUACUGUGGUUUUUCAGAGACUGAAUGCCAAGAGAACUCGGUAAAUGUUUAUUCUUCUCAGCUUUCUCUUUAAAUUCCCCUAAAUAGCGCCCCAUUUGGGAACAGAGCAAGAGUGUUGAACUGAAGACCAAAAUGCCCUCUAGGUGUAAAAUAAUCCGAGAGGGAAUAUUUGCUGGGCGUCACGAAAGACUUGGAUGAAAUUUCAACCCUGAUGGUUUUCGGUGAUCCAGGAAGUCAGUGAAGCAAUCUCUCUAUACGCAGAGCCCUUUCAUGAUAAUUAGAAUGGUAUGGACAAACCAAUGAAAACAAGAGGGAAAGUGAGAAAGAUCACCCAUGAUUCUGUUUCACUGUUUGCUUUCUCCUGUCAUGGUUAAGAGAAAUGUGCAAUUGGAUCCUCAAUCAGUGGGUGGAGGAUAACAGGGUAGAUUUUCUUGUGUGCACUUGUACAGUUGUAGCUGCGAGUCCAGAAGUCCUCUAGAGCAUGUGUACUGGCACUGAGUCGGUGAGACAGUCGUGGAGUAUCCCAUUCUGAUGAGUACAGAAAAAAAAAAAAAAAGAGAAAAAAUAAGAAAAAAAUCCAAAAAAAGAAGAAAACUAAAAAAAAAAAAAAUCAAAUCACCUUGUGAUUCAGUGUAUCUGUUUACUAACUCAAAUAAAGCAAUUGUUCCCUCUGGAGGGGUCCAGGUGCCCCCUGCCCACAGGGCCGCUGAGCCGGCAGCAGGAGGGGUGGUGGGCAGCGGCGGGUGAGGCUGGGACGGUGUCGCGCCGGCCUUAGAGCCCCCGGGGCCGUGGAUGCGGUGUACAUACUGUAUUUCUAUAUUCUCCUUUGUACAGAGUCACUUAACAAGUCAAGCUACUGUUUUACAGGUGCUCCUUAUUUAUUAGAGCUGUGAGAGCUUGGGGGACACACCUGGCGAGCGAGCUCGCUUUUUAAAAAUGAAAUUGGGGGGCAGGGGAAGGGAGGGGAGGGAGGGGAAGCUCGCAAGCCCGGGGAGAGAUUUAUAAACGUAAACAAAAGGAAAACUUCCGGCAACAAAUUCCACCAACCAACCAACCCACCCCAACACCGAGUCCCCGCGCAGGAAGCUGCACCCCUCCUCCGGGUGCUCAUUUCCAUGCUGGGCUCCCCCACAUUCUCCUCUCUCCCUGACCGGUGUCAGAUUCAUCAAACGAAAAUAAAUCUCUAAGAAAAAAAAA